CUCUUAUUUUUUGUCUCAUCAGUCAUCUCUCUCGUAUUAUCUUCCCCUCUCUACAACCCAUAAACCACCUAACCCUUUAUCUCUCUUUUAUUUUCUGUCUCAUCUCUCUUGUAUUAUAUCUCUCUCUCUACAACCCAAAAACCACCUAACCCUUCCUUCCACCCAAUCCAAAACCAAGCCGAACAUCCCUACUCACUACCUCUCAUUUCAUUUUGCCUCUCAUCUGCCUUCACUCAGUCUCAGACUCUCUCUCUCUUUCUUGGAUUCGAAGCUCAGUAGCCACCCACCGUCUAACAAUCUGACUCCGACGAACUAUCUCCACUUUGGCCACCACCACCUCACGGCUUCAUCCCCACCUCUGGUUCUCUCCAAUGAUUCUCUAUGUGUGUAGGAUUUCGAAUUAAGGUUCGGAUGAUUUCAAUUUUAAUCUAGAUGAUUUGGAUUCUGAUGAUGUUCGGUUUUGGGAAAUUCUGAAAUACCGAAAAUAUUUGGGGAAUCCCAAAAUAUUGGUUCAGGAUCGGUUAUGAGAUUUUCACCCCAAAAAUUUUCGGUUCGGGAUUUGAUAUGCCAGUUUUGGUUCAGUAUCCCAUACCGGUCAUGAGAUUUUCAUCCCGAAAAUUUUCGGUUCGGGAUUUGAUAUGCCAUUUUUGGUUCAGUGUCCCAUACCAAACCAUGCCUACUUUAUUUUUUAAGAAACAUUGAAAUUUCAUCGUUAUAAUUAAACAAACGGUUUCAGAUUAAAUUGAAUUUUUUAAGGAUGAUUUAUGAAUCAAGACUUACAAAAUAAAUGAUUCGGAUCGUUGAAGUUUGAUGUGGAGUGAGUCUCACAACUAAUUCUCAUUUUUUGAAAAAAAAUGGAUAUCCCUCCCCUUAGACCAUCUUCAACCAUUGGAUUAAAUAAUUUAGGUUUUAACUUAGAAAUAGUUUUUCUACUUCAACUUUUUAAGGUUAAAUUAUCAGGUGGGCCAACCCACUAAACUAGGGGAAUCCUGACCUAAAUUUGCCCCAUAAAUGAGUUUUGGGUUAAAACUCAUAUUUGCCUCAAGGGUUGAAGAAAGUUAGGGUAAGUUUAGAACCUAAAAUUUGAGUUUUAUUCCAAGGGUUGGAGAUGGGCAACCUAGUUUGGUAUCGAGUUUGACAUUCAUGAGAUUCAAACCUAAAAUAUCUCAUUUACAAGAAAAAAGAAAUACCACCAUACUGUAUUACUGAGUUACAUAAGAAGUAGUGUCUAUAUUUGAAGAAAAUAAAUAAAGGUUAAGUUUUAGGAAUAACUAUAUUAUUCUAAUUAUGAGCCUAUCUAUAUAUUUUGAAUGCAUGGCACAUUCCCUCCCUACUCCUUUGCAAAGAGGUUAAGCACAGGCUCUGAACCAUUGGGCCUUGUCUAAGAGAUGCUGAGAAAGAAUAUGAGCUUGGCGGCUUGCUUGUGAUAAACUCGUGAAUCAUAAAACAGUUUCUGUGUGCACGAAUCUGCCCAACAACAUUCAUACUUACCUUUUUUUUUUUUGUGUGAAAAGAUAAGAUUUAAUUCAAAUAAAAUACAAACAAUUGUAAUACACUCACUAAAUGCUAUGAGCAUCUCCUAGAGUUUCUUUAAA